rnacentral:rRNA from 1 species
UACAGAGGGGGCAAGCGUUGUUCGGAAUUACUGGGCGUAAAGGGCGCGUAGGCGGCCUGUUAAGUCGAACGUGAAAUCCCCGGGCUCAACCCGGGAACUGCGUCCGAUACUGGCAGGCUAGAGUGCGGUAGAGGAUGGCGGAAUUCCCGGUGUAGCAGUGAAAUGCGUAGAGAUCGGGAGGAACAUCUGUGGCGAAGGCGGCCAUCUGGACCAGCACUGACACUGAGGCACGAAAGCGUGGGGAGCAAACAGG